GCUCCCUGGGCAUGUGGGGAAAGUCUGCUGGCUGCUGCUGCAGAGAGCCAAACACCGGGGUCUUCCUCUGCGGGACCAAGAUCUGGUGCAGAGGAAUCCUGGCGACACAGAUACACAGCCUCAACAAGAAAGUCACUUCAGUCAUCCAUCUCCUAUGGUAAUACGCUGCAAGGUGCCUAAAAGCAGGCUGGUGGUUUUAUUUUGGGAAAAUUCUUUGGUUUAUGUAAAGUUUCUUAUUACCCAACAUUGGGAAAAAGGCUUGGACUAGGAACAUCUAGGAGCCCCUUCUGAUCUAAGUAUUUCUAGGAUUCAACAACAUCUGCCAGGACAUUAAUUGUCAGUUUCCAAUAAACUAAAUGGACAUUUUUCCCUUGUUAGGCAGAAGACAAGGAUCGAUAAUAAACUUUGUUGUAACAAUUUUAAA